GGUACGGGGGGGCAAGCGUUGUUCGGAAUUACUGGGCGUAAAGGGCUUGUAGGCGGCCAACUAAGUCCGACGUGAAAUCCCCAGGCUUAACCUGGGAACUGCGUCGGAUACUGGAUGGCUUGAAUUCGGGAGAGGGAUGCAGAAUUCCAGGUGUAGCGGUGAAAUGCGUAGAUAUCAGGAAGAACACCCGUGGCUAAGGCGGCUCUCUAGUACGGUACUGACGCUGAGACGCGAAAGCGUGGGGAGCGAACAGG
rnacentral:rRNA from 1 species